rnacentral:lncRNA from 1 species
ACACUCAUGAGGCUUUGGGAUCACUUUGCAUAUUCUUAAAAAUAAAGAAUAUGGCUAUGUGUACACAUAUACAAUAUUAUUACCUGCAAAGCUAUAAGGACUGUCAACUAGAGUUUCGAAGACAAGAUACAACUCGCUAGCACAUUGACGUCGCAUUUUAUGGAGAUCCCUGUAUGUCCAGGUACCAGUUAGGAUCGGAACUUCGAUAAUAAAACCAUGUUUUUCUUUCUGUUGUAAAUUUUGUUUUCUAACAUACUAUAGCCUGCUCUCCGCCACAUUCAUUUAGCAUGGCCGCAAGGUGGGCUGCAAUUGAAGCUAAAAUGCAAGGGGUAAUUAUUUGUAUUGUGCCAUGGUCAGCCCUGCUGCCAUGCAUGCUUAAAUCAACUAUGCAGCU